ACUCACUGGGAUACUUAACACUCUGUUGUUCCUCUAGUGGCGGCACCCCAUUUUCUAUGACAUGGGAACUUGUCCACGACUUCAACGCCACCACUACCUCACCACCACCAUCAGCCAAGAGACACUUAUCCAGCACCUUCUUUGGAGCACAGUCUGGAAAAUCUAUCAUUUCCCUAUUUCAAAAAAUACCCCAACUCCAACACAUGAGGAUGGUUCCACUUUUUCUACUACAGAGGUGGAUGUAUAACUCAGAUGGAGAAAGCAAGCCGUCAGUGUAGGAGUGUGGGUGGCCGGUGAAACUAGAGAAUAAUCCCUGGCCAACAGCUUCAGAGAAACGGGUACCACAGUCCUACAGCCACAUGGAACUGAAUUCUGCCAGCAACAGUGAAUGAGCUUGGAAGUGAAUACAUCCCCAGAGCCUCAAGAAAAGACUACAGCCCUACAGGUGUAAAGAAGUCUGGCUGCAAAGGGACCCCGAGACUUGAGGAAUAACAUGGUGUACGCAGGCCUCUCACUGCUGUGGCCUCUCCCGUUGCGGAGC